AUGAAUGCUGGCUGUAUGGAUAAGGCAUGCAAGUCGAACGGACCGCAAGGUCAGUGGCAGACGAGGUAGUAACACGUACGAACGUACCCUGUAGUCUGGAAUAGCUCGUCGAAAGACGGGGUAACACCGGAUGGUCUCGAAAGAGUAAAGUUUACGCUACAGGAGCGGCGUGCGUAGUAUCAGCUUGUUGGUAAGGUAAUGGCUUACCAAGGCUACGACGCUUAGGGGAGCUGAGAGGCUGACCCCCACCGAUGGGACUGAGACACGGCCCAUACUCCUACGGGAGGCCGCAGUCGAGAAUCUUCCGCAAUGGACGAAAGUCUGACGGAGCGAUACAGCGUGGUUGAUGAAGUGCUUCGGCACGUAAAAACCUUUUAUGUGGGACGAAAUUAUUGACGGUACCACAUGAAUAAGGGGCUCCUAACUCUGU
rnacentral:rRNA from 1 species